AGGACGACGCUGGCGGCGUGCUUAACACAUGCAAGUCGAACGAUGAAGCUAGAGCUUGCUCUGGUGGAUUAGUGGCGAACGGGUGAGUAACACGUGAGUAACCUGCCCCGAACUCUGGGAUAACUGCUGGAAACGGUAGCUAAUACUGGAUACGACCUACGAAGGCAUCUUCUGUAGGUGGAAAGAAUUUCGGUUCGGGAUGGACUCGCGGCCUAUCAGCUUGUUGGUGAGGUAAUGGCUCACCAAGGCGACGACGGGUAGCCGGCCUGAGAGGGUGACCGGCCACACUGGGACUGAGACACGGCCCAGACUCCUACGGGAGGCAGCAGUGGGGAAUAUUGCACAAUGGGCGCAAGCCUGAUGCAGCAACGCCGCGUGAGGGAUGACGGCCUUCGGGUUGUAAACCUCUUUUAGUAGGGAAGAAGCGAAAGUGACGGUACCUGCAGAAAAAGCACCGGCUAACUACGUG
rnacentral:rRNA from 1 species